rnacentral:lncRNA from 12 species
UGAGUUUUUUUUUCAGAAAGGAAUGUGCUUUUUCAGCUGUGUGGUCACCCUGUGGCAGCACUUGCAUAAACAAUGUUAGAGCACAGCUGUGAGGUUGCUGUGUCCUCCCUGCCUCCCAAUAUCCUGCUUUUUUUGUAGGGCCCUGUAGCUCCUGGAUGGGACUCUGGCAUUGUGUCAGGUAACCAGGGUUGUACUGACCUUCAAAAUAUCCCAGUGAGAAAAAUAUUCUGUCUUACAGGUGGGGGGCCUGUGUUUCAUCAAAUCCAUAAGAAAAUGCCAGGUGCUUGAUUUCAGCCUCACAGAUGAACAUCCUUCCUCUGCUGAUGCUGUUCUUUCUCCAGAUGGACUGGAGGUUAGAAAAGCUGCAGAUCCUUGUUGAGAGCCCAGGAUGGCAGGAAAGUUCAAUCUGUUCAGCGUUCAAAGACCUCAAACAAAUAAACAAAUCAACCAAGACUUUAUUGAGGCAAAAUUCACCAUUUUUCUGACUCCUGCCAGACCACUGCAAAAAAGUCUCCUUUUUUGAGGGCCCACUGACUCUUCUUUAUUCCCCUCCCUUCCCAGUCCCCAUCUCCUGCUUUCAGCCGAUCCUGAAACUGCAGG